rnacentral:sRNA from 1 species
UUUUUUUUCUGCUUUUUUUUU